rnacentral:rRNA from 1 species
AUUGAACGCUGGCGGAAUGCUUUACACAUGCAAGUCGAACGGCAGCACGGACUUCGGUCUGGUGGCGAGUGGCGAACGGGUGAGUAAUGUAUCGGAACGUGCCCAGUCGUGGGGGAUAACGUAGUGAAAAUUACGCUAAUACCGCAUACGAUCUAUGGAUGAAAGCGGGGGAUCGCAAGACCUCGCGCGAUUGGAGCGGCCGAUAUCAGAUUAGGUAGUUGGUGGGGUAAAGGCCCACCAAGCCAACGAUCUGUAGCUGGUCUGAGAGGACGACCAGCCACACUGGAACUGAGACACGGUCCAGACUCCUACGGGAGGCAGCAGUGGGGAAUUUUGGACAAUGGGCGCAAGCCUGAUCCAGCCAUUCCGCGUGCAGGAUGAAGGCCCUCGGGUUGUAAACUGCUUUUGUACAGAACGAAAAGGUUUCUACUAAUACUAGGAGCUCAUGACGGUACUGUAAGAAUAAGCACCGGCUAACUACGUGCAAGCG